CAAAAGUGGAUAUGGACAGGUCAAAGAGGGGGAGAACAGAGAAUUUCCAUGAGGGGGAAAUUAAAAGACCAGUACCACCGCCACGGCCGGAAGGCCGGGGAGUGUGCGAGAAGGAGAAGGAGGAUGAGAGGGCAGCGGGAGUGGCGGUGUUGUCAGGUGUUCAGUGUGAGAUUGUCCUGACAGAAUCUGAAGCGGUGGUAAAGAGACCUGGAGACUCUCACACACUGAACUGUACAGCCUCUGGGUUCACAUUCAGCAGCUACUGGAUGGGCUGGAGCAGACAGGCUCCUGGCAGGGGACUGGAGUGGUUGGGAUAUCAGCAUAGCAGCACUAGAUAUUAUGCCCUGUCUGUUCAAGGAAGAUUCACCAUCUCCAGAGACGACUCCAACAGCAAGCUGUAUUUACAGAUGAACAGCCUGACAGCUGAAGACACUGCUGUGUAUUAUUGUGCACCUGUGAGUUCCCUGUGCUGCUGCUUCUACACUGGAGUGAGUGUGAUCAGCAGUGGCCCUCACUCUGCCCUCCCCUAG